CGUGUAGGCUCCUUUCGAAGCACUCUUCUGCGAAAUGUUCAGAGCAAACCAUGAAUCGUCCUUGAGGAUUGAAAUUUGCUGAUCCGUUCU